GACGUAGGGCGCGAGCGUUGUCCGGAUUUAUUGGGCGUAAAGAGCUCGUAGGCGGCUUGUCGCGUCGUCCGUGAAAACCCGGGGCUCAACCCCGGGCCUGCAUUCGAUACGGGCAGACUAGAGUUCGGUAGGGGAGUCUGGAAUUCCUGGUGUAGCGGUGAAAUGCGCAGAUAUCAGGAGGAACACCGGUGGCGAAGGCGGGACUCUGGGCCGAUACUGACGCUGAUGCGCGAAAGCCAGGGGAGCGAACGGG
rnacentral:rRNA from 1 species